UGGGGAAUUUUGGACAAUGGGCGCAAGCCUGAUCCAGCCAUGCCGCGUGCGGGAAGAAGGCCUUCGGGUUGUAAACCGCUUUUGUCAGGGAAGAAAUCUUCUGAGUUAAUACCUCGGGAGGAUGACGGUACCUGAAGAAUAAGCACCGGCUAACUACGUGCCAGCAGCCGCGGUAAUACGUAGGGUGCAAGCGUUAAUCGGAAUUACUGGGCGUAAAGCGUGCGCAGGCGGUUUUGUAAGACAGAGGUGAAAUCCCCGGGCUCAACCUGGGAACUGCCUUUGUGACUGCAAGGCUUGAGUGCGGCAGAGGGGGGAUGGAAUUCCGCGUGUAGCAGUGAAAUGCGUAGAUAUGCGGAGGAACACCGAUGGCGAAGGCAAUCCCCUGGGCCUGCACUGACGCUCAUGCACGAAAGCGUGGGGAGCAAACAGGAUUAGAUACCCUGGUAGUCCACGCCCUAAACGAUGUCAACUGGUUGUUGGGAAGGUUCCUUCUCAGUAACGUAGCUAACGCGUGAAGUUGACCGCCUGGGGAGUACGGCCGCAAGGUUGAAACUUAAAUGAAUUGACGGGG
rnacentral:rRNA from 1 species